CCUACGGGUGGCAGCAGUCGAGAAUCAUUCACAAUGGGGGAAACCCUGAUGCUGCGACGCCGCGUGGGGGAAUGAAGGUCUUCGGAUUGUAAACCCCUGUAAUGUGGGAGCAAAUUAUAAAGAUAGUACCACAAGAGAAAGAGACGGCUAACUCUGUGACAGCAGCCGCGGUAAUACCGAGGUCGCAAGCGUUGUUCGGAAUCACUGGGCGUAAGGCGUGCGUAGGCUGUUUGGUAAGUCGGGUGUGAAAGGCGCGGGCUCAACCCGCGGACGGCACAUGAUACUGCGAGACUAGAGUAAUGGAGGGGGAACUGGAAUUCUCGGUGUAGCAGUGAAAUGCGUAGAUAUCGAGAGGAACACUCGUGGCGAAGGCGGGUUCCUGGACAUUAACUGACGCUGAGGCACGAAGGCCAGGGGAGCGAAAGGGAUUAGAUACCCUGGUAGUC
rnacentral:rRNA from 1 species